AGAGUUUGAUUAUGGCUCAGGAUGAACGCUGGCGGCGUGCUUAACACAUGCAAGUCGAACGAGGUCCAACCUUCGGGUGAAGACCGAGUGGCGAACGGGUGAGUAACACGUGGGGAACCUGCCCUUCUCUCUGGGAUAACCUCGGGAAACCGAAGCUAAUACCGGAUACUCCUUGCGGACCGCAUGGUCUGCUCGGGAAAGCUCCGGCGGAGAAGGAUGGCCCCGCGGCCCAUUAGCUUGUUGGUGGGGUAACGGCCCACCAAGGCGACGAUGGGUAGCCGAGCUGAGAGGCUGAUCAGCCACACUGGGACUGAGACACGGCCCAGACUCCUACGGGAGGCAGCAGUGGGGAAUCUUGCGCAAUGGGCGAAAGCCUGACGCAGCAACGCCGCGUGCGGGAUGAAGGCUCUCGGGUCGUAAACCGCUUUCAGCAGGGAUGAAAAUGACAGUACCUGCAGAAGAAGCCCCGGCUAAAUACGUGCCAGCAGCCGCGGUAAUACGUAUGGGGCAAGCGUUAUCCGGAUUCAUUGGGCGUAAAGCGCGCGUAGGCGGCUUGUUAAGUCAGGCGUGAAAUCCGGGGGCUCAACCCGCGGCUUGCGUCUGAAACUGGCAGGCUUGAGUCUGGUAGAGGAAAGUGGAAUUCCUGGUGUAGCGGUGAAAUGCGCAGAUAUCAGGAGGAACACCAGUGGCGAAGGCGGCUUUCUGGGCCACGACUGACGCUGAGGCGCGAAAGCUAGGGGAGCGAACAGGAUUAGAUACCCUGGUAGUC
rnacentral:rRNA from 1 species